rnacentral:rRNA from 1 species
GACGAACGCUGGCGGCGUGCCUAAUACAUGCAAGUAGAACGCACAGUUUAUACCGUAGCUUGCUACACCAUAGACUGUGAGUUGCGAACGGGUGAGUAACGCGUAGGUAACCUGCCUGGUAGCGGGGGAUAACUAUUGGAAACGAUAGCUAAUACCGCAUAAUAUUGAUUAUUGCAUGAUAAUUGAUUGAAAGAUGCUAUUGCAUCACUACCAGAUGGACCUGCGUUGUAUUAGCUAGUAGGUGAGGUAACGGCUCACCUAGGCGACGAUACAUAGCCGACCUGAGAGGGUGAUCGGCCACACUGGGACUGAGACACGGCCCAGACUCCUACGGGAGGCAGCAGUAGGGAAUCUUCGGCAAUGGACGAAAGUCCGACCGAGCAACGCCGCGUGAGUGAAGAAGGUUGUCGGAUCGUAAAGCUCUGUUGUAAGAGAAGAACGGGUGUGAGAGUGGAAAGUUCACACUGUGACGGUAUCUUACCAGAAAGGGACGGCUAACUACGUG